AGGGCGCCGGAGCCGGGCAGGGCGGAGAGAUGCGCCAGCGGACUUCUAUUUGGAACUGAGUCCGACAGCUCAGGACUGGCUGCUCAAACUCCACAAUUUAAUGAAAAAUCUCAGAUGAUGACUCAGAAAACCUCUAAUGAUCUGAGGAAUAUAUUAAGGGAUUCCAGAGUCAAAGGCUGAUCAUGGAGGGCAUUGAUGAGGGAAGACUUCAGGAUGCUGCCUCCUGAGAAGCUGUUGUGUAGCGAGCCUUGACCAUCUCAAGGAAAGAGACUUACUGUCUUACACAGCUUCCCCUUCUAUCUUAAGAUGUUGUCAUUGUUGUUAGAAAACUUUGUAAAUAAUUAAAUGAACAUAACUGAUAAGAAAA
rnacentral:lncRNA from 1 species